AAUAAAUAUGGUGCAUCAAUUCAACUAGAACUAUUAUUGGAAAACAACUGAGUACUGGGCUGAUGAUUAAGUUAUUGCCUCUCAGCUUCAACCUUGCUUUAUUGUGUUUUAGCUUUGUGAGACUGUGGCUGACACUCUGGAAAUACACUUCUGUUUUACCAGCUGCUCCCUUUUCGGUUCUGCCAAGAGGGGGAGCUAGAUAGUGCCAGCAAGUUGGAGGAAAAAGGAGGAAGGGAUCUCUUUCUUCUGGUCUGUUUCCUGUUACUGACUGACCCCAAAGCCCAGUGACAAUUGUUUACCUCGCUGGAAAAAACAGAUGUUUCAGUAGCAGCGGUUGCUU
rnacentral:lncRNA from 10 species